AACAACACAAACUUUCCGACCUCAGACAUGAUGGAGUUGACUGAUGUUGUAGUUUUUGUGCUCGUGUUAUACAGCGUUGUAACCGAGUUAUUUAAGCCACAAAAGCAGAUCUACACCACCUCAAAUGAAAUAGCAACGCUGCUUCGGAAGCGAAGACGGUUAAGAAGCGAUAUCAAAAGGAUUGGACGACGGAAUGCACGCUCUCUGGCCUUGUUUGACCGUAGGGCGGCUGAGGAUGAUGAGCGUUAUUACGCCAUAAGAACAGCAAUGAUAUGCGAAUACUACGGUGCGCGUCGUAUCCCACGCUCUCUCUGGGUGUACAAUAGAACCUCGGCCUGGUGGGAGAUGGUGGUGCCAACGUACACCGAUGAGCAGUGGAUACACAUAGUAAACCGAUACCUUAAAUUGGGUUCUGAGAUGGACAGGGAGCCAGUGCAGGGCAGAAAGGAUCGGAGUGAUGUGGCAUGUUUUUUUGGACCGAGUAAGCAAUCUGGCUGCAGCAUUUUGGACCUGUUGUAGUGCUUGAUGAAGUUCUGCAUUCAUCAUUUUAAGACCUUUAUUUGUUAUAGCCUGGGCAGGUACUGUGAAUGGAAGUUGCACUCCCAUUUUACUCUUAGGAACCACGUGACGUCACUGUAUUCUAGCGCCGCCAUUUUGGUGUCCGGUCACAGCAAGUCAUUACAACAACAGAGAACACGGAGGAAGCAACAGAGAAAGACACAUCGUGAAUAAUAAAGUGUGUGGAUAUGCCUGGGAUUUGUUGUGCUGUGGGCUGUGACAAUAGUCGCCAGAGGAACCCUGGACUAUAGUUUGUAUCGAUCCCCAAAGACUUAGGCCGUCCUAAUAAAUGGCUGGCUGCCAUCAGAAGGGACCACUGGCAGCCGACAUCUAACUCCAGAUUGUGUAGUCAACACUUUGUUUCCGGUUCAAACCCCACUGCAGUCAGCAUGUCGUUGUGUCCCUGAGACACUUCACCCCAAAGUGCUCCUGUGGGGAUUGUCCACAGUAUUGAGUAUGAAGAAAAAAUGACAACCCCAUGAGUCCUGACUACAUCCCCAGGCUGUUUGGGCACACGUCAGCUGGACAGCGACAGAGAAGCAUCUAUGCCACCAGCAGAUUUGAGCAUACUCAGCAGAUGAAAAGGAAACGGACUGAGACUUUGGUUCCUGAUAGUGACCAUGAGACUGUGGCACCUUCCAGCACCAGUGAUGCCUCUGGGCUUGACAUCACCUUAGUUGAACAGGUAGAAUGUGUGAAAGAUGACCACAGUUACUCUCAAGCCAUUCUUAGCUCAGGUAUUGUGGAACCAUGUUCAAAUGCAGCCUGCCAAGCUACAGUCAAGGCAUUGACAAACGAGUGUGCACUAUUAAGAGCUGAGGUUAAUUGCCUUAAGGACAAAGUUAAUGUGCUGUCUUUCAAUGAAGAAGCCUUCAAAGGAAAUGAUGAGAUGGUACAGGAACUAACAAGCCUACCAAGCUAUGCUAAAAUGACGGUUGUUUUUGGCUUCCUGUCUGGGUUUGUGAAAGCCGGUCCAAGACUGACUCCCUUUCAUAGCUUUUUAUUAACACUGAUGAGAAUGAGGCUUAACUUAUAUUUUUUUGUUUAUCUUUUUCAUAUAGAGCAGUGUUGUCAGAAUGUUCAACAAUACUUUAGAUGUCAUGUAUGUCAGACUGUCACCACUUAUAUUUUGGCCCUCAAAAGAUCAAAUGCAGGUUAGUCUGCCCAUGUGUUUCGGGGAUAAUUUUAGCAACUGCACUUCUAUCAUUGACUGUUUUGAAAUGUUUGUAGAGAAGCCAAAGAAUGUAAGGGCACAUGCUCAAACAUACUCCUACACCACAACACUGUAAAAUAUCUCAUUUCUAUAACACCACAGGGUGUUACAUCCUUUGUGUCAAAGGGCUGGGGGGGACGCACAAGCGACAAGUACAUUACAGAAAACUGCUCAUAUCUUGAGAAAUGAUCACCAGGAGAUGUUGUUCUUGCUGAUAGAGGCUUCAAUGUGAAAGACACGGUGGGACUGUAUAAUGCACAGUUGAAAAUACCAGCAUUCACCAAAGGCAAGCAGCAGCUGCAUCCAUGGCCGUAUCCACCAUUGAGGUCACCGAGGUCCGGACCUCGGUAAUAUUUUCCGAGCUGUGUAUAUAACAAAACUUGUGAAAUAAUUGCACUAAACGGGGUUCUUUGUAAUACUUCCAUUUACUGACGAUGGGGGCGC